ACGCUCGACACCUACGGGAGGUAGCAGUCGGGAAUAUUGCGCAAUGGAGGAAACUCUGACGCAGUGACGCCGCGUAUAGGAAGAAGGUUUUCGGAUUGUAAACUAUUGUCGUUAGGGAAGAAAAAGGACAGUACCUAAGGAGGAAGCUCCGGCUAACUACGUGCUAGCAGCCGCGGUAAUCUGAGCGGGCUGGCAAGGC
rnacentral:rRNA from 1 species